CCUGUUCAGUCCAAAUUACACGGUCCCAAAUUUAUACAAGCACAAAUCAAGUUAAACUAUAUUAAACAUUACAAAUCAUUUAAGACUAUUCGAUUAUAAACUAUAAGAGGCCAAACAUGCUCAGUUCAAGGAGCAAACGCUGGAACCUUUAUCAUUUCAUUUUUGACCACAGCUACAUCAAAUCGAGUUCAUGUAUGUACCUGGAAU
rnacentral:lncRNA from 1 species